CUCAGAUUGAACGCUGGCGGCAGGCCUAACACAUGCAAGUCGAGCGGUAGCACAGAGAGCUUGCUCUCGGGUGACGAGCGGCGGACGGGUGAGUAAUGUCUGGGAAACUGCCUGAUGGAGGGGGAUAACUACUGGAAACGGUAGCUAAUACCGCAUAAUGUCGCAAGACCAAAGUGGGGGACCUUCGGGCCUCAUGCCAUCAGAUGUGCCCAGAUGGGAUUAGCUAGUAGGUGGGGUAACGGCUCACCUAGGCGACGAUCCCUAGCUGGUCUGAGAGGAUGACCAGCCACACUGGAACUGAGACACGGUCCAGACUCCUACGGGAGGCAGCAGUGGGGAAUAUUGCACAAUGGGCGCAAGCCUGAUGCAGCCAUGCCGCGUGUGUGAAGAAGGCCUUCGGGUUGUAAAGCACUUUCAGCGGGGAGGAAGGCGAUAAGGUUAAUAACCUUGUCGAUUGACGUUACCCGCAGAAGAAGCACCGGCUAACUCCGUGCCAGCAGCCGCGGUAAUACGGAGGGUGCAAGCGUUAAUCGGAAUUACUGGGCGUACCGCGCACGCAGGCGGUCUGUCAAGUCGGAUGUGAAAUCCCCGGGCUCAACCUGGGAACUGCAUUCGAAACUGGCAGGCUAGAGUCUUGUAGAGGGGGGUAGAAUUCCAGGUGUAGCGGUGAAAUGCGUAGAGAUCUGGAGGAAUACCGGUGGCGAAGGCGGCCCCCUGGACAAAGACUGACGCUCAGGUGCGAAAGCGUGGGGAGCAAACGGGAUUAGAUACCCUGGUAGUCCACGCCGUAAACGAUGUCGAUUUGGAGGUUGUGCCCUUGAGGCGUGGCUUCCGGAGCUAACGCGUUAAAUCGACCGCCUGGGGAGUACGGCCGCAAGGUUAAAACUCAAAUGAAUUGACGGGGGCCCGCACAAGCGGUGGAGCAUGUGGUUUAAUUCGAUGCAACGCGAAGAACCUUACCUGGUCUUGGCAUCCACAGAACUUUCCAGAGAUGGAUUGGUGCCUUCGGGAACUGUGAAACAGGUGCUGCAUGGCUGUCGUCAGCUCGUGUUGUGAAAUGUUGGGUUAAGUCCCGCAACGAGCGCAACCCUUAUCCUUUGUUGCCAGCGGUCCGGCCGGGAACUCAAAGGAGACUGCCAGUGAUAAACUGGAGGAAGGUGGGGAUGACGUCAAGUCAUCAUGGCCCUUACGACCAGGGCUACACACGUGCUACAAUGGCGUAUACAAAGAGAAGCGACCUCGCGAGAGCAAGCGGACCUCAUAAAGUAUGUCGUAGUCCGGAUUGGAGUCUGCAACUCGACUCCAUGAAGUCGGAAUCGCUAGUAAUCGUAGAUCAGAAUGCUACGGUGAAUACGUUCCCGGGCCUUGUACACACCGCCCGUCACACCAUGGGUGUGGGUUGCAAAAGAAGUAGGUAGCUUAACCUUCGGGAGGGCGCUUACCACUUUGUGAUUCAUGACUGGGGUGAAGUCGUAACAAGGUAACCGUAGGGGAACCUGCGGCUGGAACACCUCCUU
rnacentral:rRNA from 1 species